rnacentral:rRNA from 1 species
CCUACGGGAGGCAGCAGUGAGGGAUAUUGGUCAAUGGGGGAAACCCUGAACCAGCAACGCCGCGUGAGGGAAGACGGUUUUCGGAUUGUAAACCUCUGUCCUCUGUGAAGAUGAUGACGGUAGCAGAGGAGGAAGCUCCGGCUAACUACGUGCCAGCAGCCGCGGUAAUACGUAGGGGGCAAGCGUUAUCCGGAUUUACUGGGUGUAAAGGGAGCGUAGACGGCUGUGCAAGUCUGAAGUGAAAGCCCAGGGCUCAACCCUGGGACUGCUUUGGAAACUGUGGAGCUAGAGUGCUGGAGAGGUAA